AGAGUCGCAUGACUUUUAAGUCAAAGAUUUAUCGGUAUAAGAUGGGCCUGCGUCUGAUUAGCUAGUUGGUAAGGUAACGGCUUACCAAGGCGACGAUCAGUAGCCGACCUGAGAGGGUGAUCGGCCACACUGGAACUGAGACACGGUCCAGACUCCUACGGGAGGCAGCAGUGGGGAAUAUUGCACAAUGGGCGCAAGCCUGAUGCAGCAACGCCGCGUGAGUGAUGAAGGCCUUCGGGUCGUAAAACUCUGUCCUAAGGGAAGAAGAAGUGACGGUACCUUAGGAGGAAGCCCCGGCUAACUACGUGCCAGCAGCCGCGGUAAUACGUAGGGGGCAAGCGUUAUCCGGAAUCACUGGGCGUAAAGGGUGCGUAGGUGGAUUUACAAGCCUUUGGUGAAAGGCUACGGCUUAACCAAUGACUGCUCUACGAAACUGGUCAGCUUGAGUGCAGGAGAGGGAAGUGGAAUUCCUAGUGUAGCGGUGAAAUGCGUAGAUAUUAGGAGGAACACCAGUGGCGAAGGCGACUUCCUGGCUUGUAACUGACACUGAGGCGCGAAAGCGUGGGGAUCAAACAGGAUUAGAUACCCUGGUAGUCCACGCCGUAAACGAUGAGUGCUAGGUGUCGGGGGAGUCAAAGCCCGGUGCCGCAGCUAACGCAUUAAGUAUUCCGCCUGGGGAGUACGGUCGCAAGACUGAAACUCAAAGGAAUUGACGGGGACCCGCACAAGCAGCGGAGCAUGUGGUUUAAUUCGAAGCAACGCGAAGAACCUUACCAGGUCUUGACAUCCCUCUGAAUGGCGCUUAGCAGCGCAGGUCUUUCGGGACAGAGGAGACAGGUGGUGCAUGGUUGUCGUCAGCUCGUGUCGUGAGAUGUUGGGUUAAGUCCCGCAACGAGCGCAACCCUUGUUGUUAGUUGCCAUCAUUUAGUUGGGCACUCUAACGAGACUGCCGGUGACAAAUCGGAGGAAGGUGGGGACGACGUCAAAUCAUCAUGCCCCUUAUGUCCUGGGCUACACACGUACUACAAUGGCUAUAACAGCAGGGAGGCAAUGCCGCGAGGUGGAGCAAAUCCCAAAAAUACGUCCCAGUUCAGAUUGCAGGCUGCAACUCGCCUGCAUGAAGUUGGAAUUGCUAGUAAUCGCGGAUCAGA
rnacentral:rRNA from 1 species